CGCCCACCCGGUUCUAGGCUUCUUCAUCCCGAAGGCGCUCUUGGCGGUCCUGGGUCUGUCCUUUCCGCCCGGCGGCCUGGCAGCAACUGCUGCCAGCGGGUUGUGUGCUUUUUGUGUAAGCCACAGCUUCGGGCCAUGGAGGGGGACGGCCCCACCGCCACGGCCCCGCAGUACGAGUCGGCCUGUCCUACGCGGGACGCGUGUGUCUACAGCAGCUGCUAUUGUGAGGAAAACAUUUGGAAACUCUGUGAAUACAUCAAAACCCACGACCAGUACCCCUUGGAAGAGUGUUCCGCUGUCUUCAUAUCAAAUGAGAGGAAGAUGGUAAGUUGGUACCUAUUUGGAAACAGCAGGCAAGACCUGGGAAUGGACCUGUCAUCUGGGAUUACCAUGUCAUCCUGCUUCACGUGUCCAGUGAAGGACAGAGCUUCAUUUAUGAUCUCGACACUAUUUUGCCAUUUCCCUGCCCCUUCGACAUUUACGUAGAAGAUGCCCUUAAGUCUGAUGAUGACAUUCAUCCACAGUUUAGGAGGAAAUUUAGAGUGGUUCGUGCUGAUUCCUACUUGAAGAACUUUGCUUCUGACCGGUCUCACAUGAAAGAUUCCAGUGGGAACUGGAGAGAGCCCCCUCCAGCGUACCCCUGCAUUGAAACCUGCGACUCCAAAAUGAACCUGAAUGACUUCAUCAGCAUGGACCCUGAAGUAGGCUGGGGAGCUGUCUACACGCUGCCUGAGUUUGUACAUCGCUUCAGCAGUAAAAACUGCUGAGUCUGAUGCUAGAGUGUGGGACUGGAGGGAUUCUAGGCUAUGAGUAAGCCAUCUUUUCAUGGUACAUGUAGUUUGGAGGUAUAUUUUUUCUUAUUAAAUUUGAGUGGAAACAUUAAUGAAUGCAAAUAUAAAUGAAUGCUCUCUCCCUUUUUUUUUUUUUUUUUGGCUUGGGAAGCUAUCCCGGAGUUCUGUCUCCAACCCUAAGUUAGUCUGGGGAGCCUCAGACAUAGAUAAACAAGUAAAAUAAAAGCUUUCCUAUUGAUACGCCACACACAGCAUAUAGUUGCUAAGAUAUUCCCAUGACUUAUUUGUUUAGAUGUGCGGUAACCUAGGCCAGCAAUUGCUUUUGUUAAACUAAAAGUGUGGACUUGGAGCCAGCUCCUGUUUGCUCUCUCUGCUUCCUGUCCUGCUAGACUCUAAACUCCUUGAGCAUAGGGUUGUGGCCUGUGGCUCUGAGAACCUCUGUUGCCCAUUAGAGGUACCUGUAAAAUGUUCCAGAGACAGCUCUGCUGCUCAGAAAGGACGGUAUUGUGAGCUGAAUCAGCUAUAAGUAUUAGUCUUUUUGGACUAUGAUGUUUAAAAAAGUUGCAGAUAUUUUGACUGAGAGUUAUUUGGCCCAUUUAUAUGCAUAGUUUAAAUAAAACUGACUUAAAAUUA